CCCCUCUCAGGGUUGCACCUGGAGAGUUCCAAGUGCUCUUCCAGUCUCGACUAUGGGAGGGAGAAUCAGGCAGAAGUAUAUUCCUUUCAUUCCUAGCUUGGGGCAGUGGCUAGGAAUUGGAAGGCAAUCUGCUACAAGU
rnacentral:snoRNA from 1 species